GACGAACGCUGGCGGCGUGCUUAACACAUGCAAGUCGAACGGAAAGGCCCUGCUUUUGUGUGGUUCUCGAGUGGCGAUCUGGUGAGUAACACUUGUGUAACCUUCCCUUUACUUUUUUAUAUCUUCAUGUAACUGUUUCUAAUACCCUAUAUGAGCUCCUCCUGCAUGGUGUUGGUUGGUAUGUUUCGGCGGUUGGGGAUGGACUCGCGGCUUAUCAGCUUGUUGGUGGGGUAGUGGCUUACCAUGGCUUUGACGGGUAGCCGGCAUGAGAGGGUGACCGGCGACAUUGGGACUGAGAUACGGAGCAGACUCGUACGGGAGGCAGCAGUGGGGAAUAUUGCAAAAUGGGAGGAAGCCUGAUGCAGCAAAGCAGCGUGCGGGAUGAAGGCCUUCGGGUUGUAAAAAGAAUUAGACUGUGACGAAGAGUGAGUGACGGUAAUGGGUAAAGAAGCAACGGCUAACUACGUG
rnacentral:rRNA from 1 species